GUUAAUCUUUAGUUCAGGUUAAGGUCACAGUAGCCACAUCGUUAUGAAUAAUACAUAAUUCGAAAUAGAUUGAAGUGAAUUGAUUAAAUAGUUUGUUGCUCCUCUCCGGACCUACAAGAUAUCUAAAUAAAGUUGAUAAACUGUGACAAAUUCAAACGAGGAUACGGAUACCAAAGUAGCAAAGACAUCCACCAAAGGAGCUUUCUCCGUAACGGGGCGAAGAUAGAAUUACAUUUUCUUUUGUUACUUUUAAUUUUGAUCUGUAUAUAAAUAUCCUGAAUAUAUUUAUUUCAUUUUUAA